rnacentral:piRNA from 1 species
CCAAGUGGGACGCUGGGGAAAGACUACCA